CAACUCUGUGUUUUAUAAACCGAUCUCGAGACACGACGUUGUCUUGGGAAGUGUAAAAUGACAGGCGAAUCUCAAGUCAUCGAUCGACCUUCCUCAAGACCGCGAUUCUAACCUAACUUUGUUUGUUAUUGUUUGAAUUUUGAAUAUUUUAAAUUCAGUUCCAACAUAUAUUUUUUGUUUUUCUAAUUACAACAAAAAUGUAUGAAGAAGUAAAAGCAUUUUUAGAGUUUAUUGAUAAUAUUGGAGAAGAAAAUCGCCCGGGAAGUAUACAAAAGCGAUAUAUUCAAGAUAAAAAUAUAAUCUAAAAUACAAUGGAGUAUUACAAUAUUGAAGUUCAUCAGCGAAUCAGCGCAUUAACUUAAACAAUAAAGGUUUUAUGCUACUUAUAGGAAUAUAACCAGUUUUUAUGAGGACCCCGCUUUCCAAAAAUGUACAGGUACUAGAAGAGAAAUGAUGUGUAUUAUUGUUCAACAACAAGGUUAUCAAGUCAUUCAAUAUUUGAUCUAAGAGCAUUAAGAGUGAAAUUGUGAAAUGGAAAGAAGUGAAAUUCCAGGAUUAUUAAUAGGAAUAGAUGACAGUAGUGGGUAUGCAUGCAGACACUAUCUACUUACCCCAGUAUUACACCCAGGUAAUGAUCAAGAAAAUAAGAUUUUUACCAUAGUACUCAUGUGAGAACAAGAAAUGUAGAAAAGCUAUUUGGAACCUGGAAAAGAGUUUCCUUGUCUUCAACAAGGUCUACAAACCAAAUUAUAUACAUGUCUUGCAAUAAUAUGUGCUACAGCAGUACCUUACAAUCUAGGUAAAUAAUGAUCUGGUGGUAAAUAGACAUGUUAAUGAUGUGGAACAAUUUCUAAAUUUUUGGUGACAUUUUUUUCAACAAUAUUUUGCAUGAGAAUACAUUAUUGAAUACCUA